rnacentral:rRNA from 1 species
CUAGCAGUAUCCUGAGUACGGCGAGACACGUGAAAUCUCGUUGGAAUCUGGGAGGACCAUCUCCCAACCCUAAAUACUCUCUAGUGACCGAUAGUGAACCAGUACCGUGAGGGAAAGGUGAAAAGCACCCCGGAAGGGGAGUGAAAGAGUACCUGAAACCGUAUGCCUACAAGCAGUCAGAGCCCGUUAAGGGGUGAUGGCGUACUUUUUGUAGAACGGACCGGCGAGUGACGAUAGCAAGCAAGGUUAAGCUGAAGAAGCGGAGCCACAGCGAAAGCGAGUCUGAAGAGGGCGUUGAGUUUGUUGUCGUCGACCCGAAACCAAGUGAUCUACUCAUGUCCAGGCUGAAGGUGUGGUAAAACACACUGGAGGGCCGAACCCACGUCUGUUGAAAAAGGCGGGGAUGAGGUGUGGGUAGCGGUGAAAUUCCAAUCGAACUUGGAGAUAGCUGGUUCUCUCCGAAAUAGCUUUAGGGCUAGCCUCGGAUGAUGACUAUUGGAGGUAGAGCACUGUUUGAUCGAGGGGUCCAUCCUGGAUUACCGACAUCUGAUAAACUCCGAAUGCCAAAUAGUUUAGUCCGGGAGUCAGACUGCGAGUGAUAAGAUCCGUAGUCGAAAGGGAAAGAGCCCAGACCACCAGCUAAGGUCCCAAAGUUUCAGUUAAGUGGAAAAGGAUGUGGGGUUGCUUAGACAACUAGGAUGUUGGCUUAGAAGCAGCCAUCAUUGAAAGAGUGCGUAAUAGCUCACUAGUCGAGUGACCCUGCGCCGAAAAUGUACCGGGGCUAAACUGAACACCGAAGCUGUGGAUCCGUAGGAUGGUAGGAGAGCGUUCUAUAGGCAGAGAAGCAUGAUCGUGAGGACAUGUGGAGCGUAUAGAAGUGAGAAUGCCGGUAUGAGUAGCGAAAGACGGGUGAGAAUCCCGUCCACCGAAUGACUAAGGUUUCCUGGGGAAGGCUCGUCCUCCCAGGGUUAGUCGGGACCUAAGCCGAGACCGAAAGGGAUAGGCGAUGGACAACAGGUUGAGAUUCCUGUACUUGUUUGAUUUGUUUGAGCGAUGGAA